rnacentral:rRNA from 1 species
CAGCCGUAAACUAUGCGCGUUAGGUGUACUGGUGACCACGAGUCACCGGGGUGCCGAAGGGAAACCGUGAAACGUGCCGCCUGGGAAGUACGGUCGCAAGGCUGAAACUUAAAGGAAUUGGCGGGGGGAGGCACCACAACGGGUGGAGCCUGCGGUUUAAUUGGACUCAACGCCGGAAAUCUCACCGGAUAGGACAGACAUAUGAUAGUCGGGCUGAAGACUCUACUUGAUGAUCUGAGAGGUGGUGCAUGGCGUCAGUGACU